GUUUAUUUUAAUAACAAUCUCCCUGAAUAUCAUUGGGAAAAAUGUCAAAAAAAUCACGAACUUUCAAAUUUGGGAUGAUUUAAUCUUGAACUCCACGGAAGACAAAUAAAUCGUAAAGUUUUUGUUGACUUUCAAAAUAAAUAACAAAGUUUUUGUUGACUUGCCAUUUGAGUCAUGUCGUUAAAUAGGUUAACAGAAUUAUUUUACGGCGUUAAUAUCUCGUGUAUCUGCUCUGUUAGAACAAAACGACAUCGUUUAUUGCAGAGACAAAGGAACGUCGUUUUGUUUGUUGAAACAAAUUUAAACCCUAAAUCCCCAAAUCGAUUUAUUAUCUGCGAUUUUGAGGUCAAGGUGGGUCUGUGAUUUUGAGAUAAUGAAAUCGAUUUGGGGAUUUAGGGUUUAAAUUUGUUUCAAGACAAAACGACGAUGUUUUGUCUCUGCAAUAAACGACGUUGUUUUGUUCUAACAGAGCAAAUAAACGAGACAUUAACGCCGUAAAUUUUUUCUGUUAACCUAUUUAACGACAUGACUCAAAUGGCAAGUCAACAAACACUUUGUCAUUUAUUUCGAAAGUCAACAAAAACUUUACGAUUUAUUUAUCUUCCGUGAAGUUCAAAAUUAAAUCGUCCCAAAUUUGAAAGACAUUUUUCCCGAAUAUCAUUUAUGAAUU
rnacentral:sRNA from 1 species